rnacentral:rRNA from 1 species
GACGAACGCUGGCGGCGUGCCUAAUACAUGCAAGUCGAACGCAGUGGGGACGGGUGAGUAACCCGUGGGUAACCUCCCAUCAGAGGGGAUAACACUUGGAAACCGGUGCUAAACCGAUACUGAUGGAUGAACCCGCGGUUCAUUGGCUAGUUGGUGAGUGACAGGCUCACCAAGGCCACGAUGCAUAGCGGCGCUGAGAGGGGGAUAGGCCAAACUGGAACUGAGACAGGGCCCAGACUCCUACGGGAGGCAGCAGUGGGGAAUAUUGCAAAAUGGGCGCAAGCCUGAUGCAGCCAUGCCGCGUGUAUGAAGAAGGCCUUAGGGUUGUAAAGUACUUUCAGCGGGGAGGCGUUACCCGCAGAAGAAGCACCGGCUAACUCCGUGCCAGCAGCCGCGGUAAUAC